AUUGAACGCUGGCGGCAGGCCUAACACAUGCAAGUCGAGCGAGCGGCGGACGGGUGAGUAAUGUAUGGGGAUCUGCCCGAUAGAAGGGGAUAACUACUGGAAACUGUAGCUAAUACCGCGUACCAUAGGAUGAGCCCAAGUGGGAGUAGGUAGUUGGUGAGGUAAAGGCUCACCAAGCCGACGAUCUCUAGCUGGUCUGAGAGGAUGACCAGCCACACUGGGACUGAGCCACGGCCCAGACUCCUACGGGAGGCAGCAGUGGGGAAUAGUGCGCAAUGGGGGCAACCCUGACGCAGCCAUGCCGCGUGAAUGAAGAAGACCUUCGGGUUGUAAAGUACUUUCAGCGAGGAGGCGUUACUCGCAGAAGAAGCACCGGCUAACUCCGUGCCAGCAGCCGCGGUAAUUC
rnacentral:rRNA from 1 species